rnacentral:rRNA from 1 species
GCACAAGCGGUGGAGUAUGUGGUUUAAUUCGAUGCAACGCGAAGAACCUUAUCUGGUCUUGACAUCCCGGAGACCCUUAGGAAACUAGGGGGUGCUUCCAUCUGGAAGAAUCUGGAGACAGGUGCUGCAUGGCUGUCGUCAGCUCGUGUCGUGAGAUGUUGGGUUAAGUCCCGCAACGAGCGCAACCCUUGCCUUUAGUUGCCAGCAGUUCGGCUGGGCACUCUAAAGGGACUGCCGGUGUUAAACCGGAGGAAGGUGGGGAUGACGUCAAGUCCUCAUGGCCUUUAUGACCAGGGCUACACACGUACUACAAUGGCCGAUACAAAGGGCAGCGACACUGCGAGGUGAAGCCAAUCCCGUAAAAUCGGUCUCAGUCCGGAUUGGAGUCUGCAACUCGACUCCAUGAAGUUGGAAUCGCUAGUAAUCGUGGAUCAGCAUGCCACGGUGAAUACGUUCCCGGGCCUU